ACGCGAAAGGCCCCUUCGGGGGCCGAGUAGAGUGGCGUCCGGGUGAGUAACACGUAGGUAAUCUACCUUUGGGUGGGGAAUAACGACCGGAAACGGUCGCUAAUACCGCAUAAUGCAGCGGCACCACAUGGUGACAGUUGUUAAAGCGGGGGAUCGCAAGACCUCGCGCCUAAAGAGGAGCCUGCGGCGGAUUAGCUAGUUGGUAGGGUAACGGCCUACCAAGGCGACGAUCCGUAGCCGGCCUGAGAGGGCGGUCGGCCACACUGGCACUGACACACGGGCCAGACUCCUACGGGAGGCAGCAGUCGGGAAUUUUGGGCAAUGGGCGAAAGCCUGACCCAGCAACGCCGCGUGAAGGAUGAAGCUUUUCGGAGUGUAAACUUCAUAAGAAUGGGACGAAUAAGGAGGGGUUAAUACCCCCUUUGAUGACGGUACCAUUUGUAAGCUCCGGCUAACUCCGUGCCAGCAGCCGCGGUAAUACGAGGGGAGCAAGCGUUG
rnacentral:rRNA from 1 species